rnacentral:rRNA from 1 species
UACGUAGGGUGCAAGCGUUAUCCGGAAUUAUUGGGCGUAAAGAGCUCGUAGGCGGUUUGUCGCGUCUGCUGUGAAAACCCGAGGCUCAACCUCGGGCCUGCAGUGGGUACGGGCAGACUAGAGUGCGGUAGGGGAGAUUGGAAUUCCUGGUGUAGCGGUGGAAUGCGCAGAUAUCAGGAGGAACACCGAUGGCGAAGGCGGCGACCUGGACCUGUGCUGACGCUGAGGCGCGAAAGCGUGGGGAGCGAUCCGG